AUUGAACGCUGGCGGCAUGCUUUACACAUGCAAGUCGAACGGUAACAGGGUGCUUGCACCGCUGACGAGUGGCGAACGGGUGGGUAAUGCGUCGGAACGUGCCGAGUAGUGGGGGAUAACGCAGCGAAGGUUGUGCUAAUACCGCAUACGUACUGAGGUAGAAAGUGGGGGACCUUCGGGCCUCACGCUAUUCGAGCGGCCGACGUCUGAUUAGCUAGUAGGUGAGGUAAAGGCUCACCUGGGCGACGAUCAGUAGCGGGUCUGAGAGGAUGAUCCGCCACACUGGGACUGAGACACGGCCCAGACUCCUACGGGAGGCAGCAGUGGGGAAUUUUGGACAAUGGGCGAAAGUCUGAUCCAGCCAUGCCGCGUGUCUGAAGAAGGCCUUCGGGUUGUAAAGGACUUUUGUCAGGGAGGAAAUCCCUAGUGCUAAUACCGCUGGGGGAUGACAGUACCUGAAGAAUAAGCACCGGCUAACUACGUGCCAGCCGCCGCCGUAACAC
rnacentral:rRNA from 1 species